GAAAGGCAAGCAAGACGGAUUCAAAGUCCCAGAAUGUGACAUUGAUCAUGCCCACUUAAGCAUUACUGAAUCGUACACUACACAUGUAUCUUGAAUAGUAGUGGAGCAACCAAGAAGAAAACAUUCGAGAAGGUUAAGCAAAUCGAAUUUUAGCUUCAAGUGGUUCUCUAAGAUGUUUUGAGCAACAUUUGGACAAAUUCUUUGCCUGAAUUUGUAAAAUAUACAAAUGCAAGAUAUGUUCAUAACAAUAUAGUGUAGAACAAACUGUACCCCAAAAACAUGGAAUUAAGGGUAGAAUGUCUAAAAUGUCUUGAGGAAGAACCAAAAUUUUAACAGGCAAAUUCUUGACUCGCUCGAUGCUUUACCGUUCAUGCCUCAAGAAGAAGAAUUAAGGUCAAAGCCUAAAGCUUAGCUAAUUCACUUCGAAAAUUUUGGUGAGUAUCCUGCAAUGUUUGGUUUUUACAGUUGAAUAUUAGCUUUGAAUAAGAGUGUUUCUCUAGUCUCAAAUGCCCAACUAGGUGUUAUUCCUUAUCACUCCUUAUUCGUAAUCUGAUCCUUUUCAUCUACUAUAUCUACUAAUUUGAUUGAGCAUUUAUAGCCUCAAAUAUCAUAAAUUCAUGUGGACUGAGCCUAAAAUCUGUUCAGCCUGUCUCUAAGAAUACGAGAAUAUGUUUUGAAACCCCUGAAAAACCAGACUCAGUACUUGCUUCUUGGGGAAUAUGGAUUCGGCAAUUCCCACAUCUCCAAAUUUGUUAAGAUCUGGCUAUGGAGCCUUUAGCCAUCUUAAAAAGACACUUUGCCCAAGUUUGAGAUUCUGUGUUCUAUAGGGAUUACAAGAUCAGGCCUUUCUAUAUAUUUUUUUUUUCUAGGAAUCCAGACUUGUUGGGUUGAAGUAUAGGGCGAUAACUGAUCCUACAUUGUAUAUCCUCAAAAGUAUAGAGCGACAUUUCUCUAUCAGUCACCUAUCAUCCCUUGAUUAUGUGCUUAAAAGCCUUCAAGUUUGCAGAAGGGGUUAAGAGAGUUAUCAAAAUAGGAUUUGAUCCUUCAAAACAAACAUUUGUUGGGCAAUCCAAAUUUUGCUUGGAAUAACGCAGAAAACAUGGGAACACAAAAUGUGUAUUGUGUUCAACCGUCGAAAAGCUUGAUAAAUGUGUCGUGAAGAUUAUCAAAGUGGGAUAAUCUCUAAAAAAUAAAUUUGUCUUAGCACAAUAAGGCAGAACAGUUGAAAAGCCUUGCCAAAAGGGAUCAUCUUCUGGUGUUCCUGACCAGAAUUGUACUGUUGAAGGGCCUGAUCAAGGUGGAACUUCCUGUUUUUAUCUUUAAUGCUAAGGUCCUAAAUUGCUUACUUAGUGAUUGGGCACCAGGAACUGGUAGCUCAAUUGAUUGGUUGUUUUCAAGAGAAAAUUAUUAUACUAGAAAUAGGACUUGGUUUUGAGCACAGAGCAAUUGUUAUAAGAUUUUAGUCCAUUAUGAUAGAGUUAGGAGUGAAUUUUAAUUGUAAACAAACAAAAUAGCUUGUAUUGAUAGUAAUGGCAGGGAUGCCCAGAUUAUAAUUAGUUCUCAGUAUCUCAAAGCUUUAGUAGUCUCUUGCUCUUCUCUGAAUAGAACCAAACAAGAAAAGAAAAUACAAAAAGGUGACAAGAGAAAGUGAGGAAAUAAAUGGUUGACAAGCAACCCAAGGAACAAUUCCUGUGCUAGCAAAGUUUGCCCCAGCUCAUAGCUGCCAAAUAACAAUAAUCUUCUCUCUCUGUCUUUCCCUGCAGAAAUUAGCCACUGAAUCAUUCCAGCUGUCCCCUUUUCCAUUUGACUUCCUCCACAAUUUCCUCCAACAUAUGACAUACCAGCUCAACAAUUCCAACUGUAACAUUCAAAAGAAGCUUCUCCACAUUCCAUUGCUCUUCCAUCCAUAUCCCUAUCACAUUAUUUCCUCUGAAAUUCUUCUGUAUUAUUGUAUGUGGCAAAAUCAUUGAUAUAUGAGUGGUUCUGCUGAUGGUAGUUACCGUUGAUUUGUUCAAUCUAAGGAAUUUUCUUUUCAAUAUAUGAGUGGUUUUGGCUUUGAUGAUAAAUCUUAAAUUCUUGGAUAGGAAAUAUAUAGCAUGCAGCACGUCAAUCUUAAACCCAUGGAUUUCUAUUUGUUGAUGCUUUCUAUUUGAUUCUUUUAAUGUCUUUCUUUAGUGAAUCGGCAAGGCUUGAAUGAGUAAUAUUGAUAACUUACUUCUCGUUUUUUUUUUUUUAUGACCUUAGAAAACUCUUUUUUUUUUUAUAUAUAUAUAUGGUUUAACGGAGAUUUAGUAAAGAAACUGAGGAAGUGAUCUUUUAUUAUCAUAUUGAUACCUUAUCUCUAUCUUGCUAUAAAUUGAGGUAACAUUAUAAGUUGAUUGAUUGUUACUGUAAACUGAAUUGUAUCUAUUCAAUUGAAGUGCUGAGGUCUUGUUGAUGGGAGUCAUCCCCAGAUAGUCCUGGCCACAGGUAAUUUCUCAAUUCCCAAUACUAGGUAGGGGAGAUUAGUGCUUGGUUAUUAUCGAAAACUAAAUUGAAUCCAUUUAUUUUAAUUUUUGGUUCAGUUAUUUAGUUUAUAUAAUUUCGUUUGGUAUAAGCACGAUGCCCAAAAGAGCACAUUUAUGGUAUAAGCACAGCAAAAUCUGCUUCAGCAAGACCUGAGGGCCAAUCCGCAUCUCAGCAAAAUGUGCCAACAAGUACUGACAUAGGAAUGGGUCAAAAGAAAAUUUCAAUUAUGGUAUCAAGGAAGCAGACCUGCAAGAGAAAAAGCUAUGGAAUUGACCAGUAGCCUAGAGUUGCUUGUGAAAGGCUCACGACAAGUGCUAAUCCCAUCCCUGAGACCAGCAAAGGGAAGUUGGAAAAUGAAGGCUCCACCAACCAAUGUCGGUAACUCCCAAGCAUGGAAAUAUAAACACCAUGAUUGCAAUGGAAAGGCAAAGAAGCUGUGACCGGAAGGCAAUUGCAGGAGGAGCAGUAGAGGAAGGUGAGCAAUCUCAACAAGACUGAAUCAUAUGAAAUUCCACACUCAACUCCAAAAGGAGAUAGCACCCAAGCUGAGGUGAUUCAGUGUUCACAAUAAGAUGAUGCCAUUCAUGUUACAUCCGCUAUAGCUGAAAAGAAAGGGCCAAGCAAGUACAACCUCCAAAGAAACCUAAAAUCUGAAUACCUUGAUCAGUCCUCACAUCUGCUUGCAGAUACUGUAUUUUUGUGUUAUGGAAUGAAUUAUGGAAUUGUAUUAAAAGUUUGGAUAUUUUGAGGCCCUUUCUGGUUUUAGAACUUAAUGUGUAUGGAUAGGAAGAAUUACAAAAGGGCAUAGACAUCCUAGUUAAAGUCAUAUAUUUAAUGUCACAUUGGUUAGCUGACAUUGUGACAAACUAUAGCUUUUCAUA